CCUACGGGAGGCAGCAGUGGGGAAUUUUCCGCAAUGGGCGCAAGCCUGACGGAGCAAGACCGCGUGAGGGAGGAAGGCUCUUGGGUUGUAAACCUCUUUUAUCAGGGAAGAAGAUCUGACGGUACCUGAUGAAUCAGCAUCGGCUAACUCCGUGCCAGCAGCCGCGGUAAUACGGAGGAUGCAAGCGUUAUCCGGAUUUAUUGGGCGUAAAGCGUCCGCAGGUGGUUAUUCAAGUCUGCUGUUAAAGCGCGAGGCUUAACUUCGUACAGGCAGUGGAAACUGGAUGACUGGAGUAUGGUAGGGGUAGCGGGAAUUCCCAGUGUAGCGGUGAAAUGCGUAGAUAUUGGGAAGAACACCAGCGGCGAAAGCGCGCUACUGGGCCAUUACUGACACUCAUGGACGAAAGCUAGGGGAGCGAAAGGGAUUAGAUACCCCUGUAGUCCUAGCUGUAAACGAUGGGUACUAGGUGUUGACCGUAUCGACCCGGUCAGUGCCGUAGCUAACGCGUUAAGUACCCCGCCUGGGGAGUAUGCAGCAAGUGUGAAACUCAAAGGAAUUGACGG
rnacentral:rRNA from 1 species